AACAUGAGGUGCUUGCACUUUGAUGACGAGUGGCGCACGGGUGCGUAACGCGUAUAGAACCUACCCUGUACAGGGGGAUAGCCCAGAGAAAUUUGGAUUAAUACCCCGUGGUAACUAUAAAUGGCAUCAUUUAUAGUUUAAAGUUUUCGGACGGUACAGGAUGGCUAUGCGUCCUAUUAGUUAGAUGGUGAGGUAACGGCUCACCAUGGCAUCGAUAGGUAGGGGCCCUGAGAGGGGGAUCCCCCACACUGGUACUGAGACACGGACCAGACUCCUACGGGAGGCAGCAGUGAGGAAUAUUGGACAAUGGGCGUAAGCCUGAUCCAGCCAUGCCGCGUGCAGGAAGACGGCCCUAUGGGUUGUAAACUGCUUUUAUACGGGAAGAAUAAGGGACACGAGUGUCCUGGUAACGGUACCGUAAGAAUAAGGACCGGUUAACUCCGUGCCAGCAGCCGCGGUAAUACGGAGGGUCCGAGCGUUAUCCGGAAUUAUUGGGUUUAAAGGGUCCGCAGGCGGGCAAUUAAGUCAGGGGUGAAAUGGUACGGCUCAACCGUAGCACUGCCCUUGAUACUGGUUGUCUUGAGUCAUAGUGAAGUGGCCGGAAUAUGUAGUGUAGCGGUGAAAUGCAUAGAUAUUACAUAGAACACCGAUUGCGAAGGCAGGUCACUAACUAUCGACUGACGCUGAUGGACGAAAGCGUGGGGAGCGAACGGGAUUAGAUACCCCGGUAGUCCACGCCGUAAACGAUGGAUACUAGCUGUCCGCUGCCUUGAGCAGUGGGCGGCCCAGCGAAAGUGAUAAGUAUCCCACCUGGGGAGUACGUUCGCAAGAAUGAAACUCAAAGGAAUUGACGGGGGCCCGCACAAGCGGUGGAGCAUGUGGUUUAAUUCGAUGAUACGCGGGGAACCUUACCAGGGCUUAAAUGCAUAAUGACAGGUCUAGAGAUAGACUUUUCUUCGGACAUUUUGCAAGGUGCUGCAUGGUUGUCGUCAGCUCGUGCCGUGAGUGUCAGGUUAAGUCCUAUAACGAGCGCAACCCCUGCCGUCAGUUGCCAGCA
rnacentral:rRNA from 1 species